AUGUUGCUGCUAAAGAACCGGACUGCCAUUUAUGAGCUCCUUUUUAAGGAGGGAGUCAUGGUGGCCAAGAAGGAUGUCCACAUGCCUAAGCACCCAGAGCUGGCAGACAAGAACGUGCCCAACCUUCCUGUCAUGAAGGCCAUGCAGUCUCUCAAGUCCUGAGGCUACGUGAAGGAACAGUUUGCCUGGAGACAUUUCUACUGGUGCCUUACCAAUGAGGGUAUCCAGUAUCUCCGUGAUUACCUCCAUCUGCCCGCAGAGAUCGUGCCUGCCACCCUACGCCGCAGCCGUCCAGAGACAGGAAGGCCUGCAAGACUCACCAGAGGGGAAGCUGACAGAGAUACCUACAGACGGAGUGCUGUGCCACCUGGUGCCGACAAGAAAGCUGAGGCGGGGGCUGGGUCAGCAACCGAAUUCCAGUUGACAGGCGGAUUUGGUCAGGGACGUGGUCAGCCACCUCAGUAAAAUUGGAGAGGAUUAUUUUGCAUUGAAUAAACUUACAGUUAAAA